AUACGGAGGGUGCAAGCGUUGUCCGGAUUUAUUGGGUUUAAAGGGUGCGUAGGUGGUCUUUUAAGUCAGUGGUGAGAGCCUACAGCUUAACUGUAGAGGUGCCAUUGAUACUGGGGAACUUGAGUAUGGACGAGGUAGGCGGAAUUUGUGGUGUAGCGGUGAAAUGCAUAGAUACCACAAGGAACACCGAUAGCGAAGGCAGCUUACUGGGCCAUAACUGACACUGAGGCACGAAAGCGUGGGGAGCGAAUAGGAUUAGAUACCCCAGUAGUCC
rnacentral:rRNA from 1 species